rnacentral:rRNA from 1 species
AACGAACGCUGGCGGCAGGCUUAACACAUGCAAGUCGAACGCCCCGCAAGGGGAGUGGCAGACGGGUGAGUAACGCGUGGGAACAUACCCUUUCCUGCGGAAUAGCUCUGGGAAACUGGAAUUAAUACCGCAUACGCCCUACGGGGGAAAGAUUUAUCGGGGAAGGAUUGGCCCGCGUUGGGUUAGCUAGUUGGUGGGGUAACGGCCUACCAAGGCGACGAUCCAUAGCUGGUCUGAGAGGAUGAUCAGCCACAUUGGGACUGAGACACGGCCCAAACUCCUACGGGAGGCAGCAGUGGGGAAUAUUGGACAAUGGGCGCAAGCCUGAUCCAGCCAUGCCGCGUGAGUGAUGAAGGCCUUAGGGUUGUAAAGCUCUUUCACCGAUGAAGAUAAUGACGGUAGUCGGAGAAGAAGCCCCGGCUAACUUCGUGCCAGCAGCCGCCGUAACAC